GCUGGCGUAGCUCAAUUGGUAGAGCACCGGUUUUGUAAACCGGCGGUUGCGGGUUCGAGUCCCUUCGCCAGCU
rnacentral:tRNA from 1 species